rnacentral:rRNA from 1 species
CCUACGGGAGGCAGCAGUGGGGAAUAUUGCACAAUGGGCGAAAGCCUGAUGCAGCAACGCCGCGUGAGCGAUGAAGGCCUUCGGGUCGUAAAGCUCUGUUCUCAAGGAAGAUAAUGAAGGUACUUGAGGAGGAAGCCCCGGCUAUCUACGUGCCAGCAGCCGCGGUAAUACGUAGGGGGCUAGGGUUAUCCGGAUUUACGGGGCGUAAAGGGUGCGUAGGUGGUUUCUUAAGUCGGAGGUGAAAGGCUACGGCUCAACCGGAGUAUGCAUUUGAAAAUGGUGAACUUGAGUGCAGGAGAGGAGAGUGGAAUUCCGAGUGUAGCGGUGAAAUGCGGAGAUAUUAGGAAGAACACCAGUGGCGAAGGCGGCUCACUGGACUGUAACUGACACUGAGGCACGAAAGCGUGGGGAGCAAACAGGAUUAGAUACCCUUGUAGUC